rnacentral:rRNA from 1 species
UACGGGGGGGGCAAGCGUUGUUCGGAAUUACUGGGCGUAAAGGGCGCGUAGGCGGUGCUCUAAGUUAAAUGUGAAAACUCUGGGCUCAACCCAGAGCCUGCAUCUAAAACUGGAGUGCUAGAGUUCUGGAGGGGGUAGCGGAAUUCAUGGUGUAGCAGUGAAAUGCGUAGAGAUCAUGAGGAAGACCAGUGGCGAAGGCGGGUCUCUGGACAGUUCCUGACACUGAGGCACGAAGGCCAGGGGAGCAAACGGG